AAACUAGUUUAAGUGCUUAACCUCUCCUUGCUCAUGUAAUCCCUGGGCGAGCAAGAAAUAACAGGACGAACUGAAACAUCUUAGUGGCUAGAAGGGGAAAAAAUGCACAAAUGAUUCUCUUAGUAGUAGCAAUCGAAAUGAGAGCAACCUAAACCGUGAAAACAAGAUUGUGGAAAAGCAAUACAAUGCUGUGAUACCUCGCACGAAUACUGCACCCUAGAUGGCGAAAGUUCGGCAGCCAAAAAAUUACUAGCUUACACUCCGACUUGAGUAGCAUGGGACAUGUGGAAUCCCAUGCGACUCAUUCCAAUUCCUGGAUUUGCUACUAGGAUUGAGUACAUUAUUUACAAAUACACCAUCUUUGUUAGGGGUAAGAGACAAAAAUCAUAACAAUAUUGCUAACAUGAGAAAGACCCUAACUCUAUUGCUCCCUACCUCUAUAGCCAACCGAGCACCACAACUUGUGCCAAAAUUUCAUUUCUAUACUCUUUGAGUGGAUUUUUGUUAGAUGUUGGACAAAUAUGGUGCAUUGAGAUCAUCAAUGAUCAAUUCAAACUCAUCUCAAGUUUUAGAAACUGCUAAGGUAUAAUCCUUUUUUGGAAUAAUUCUAAUGUGGGCUUUUUAUUUGAUUGUAAAUUUUACGAGUUAGAUAUAUAGAUCAUAAUGAUAUUGUGAUUGGACCAAAUAUAUUAAGUGAUCAAUUUAGUCUUUUACACCUUACGAGCUAUAUUUAAUAUGAUGUGGUAAUUUUAAGUAUGUAGGCCGAAAAUAUAUGUAAACCCUAAUUAGAGUUUAAGUCGUAAUGGGAAAGUUUGAUAAUUUUCUAUAUAAAGGCAUGUCCCCUCUUCUCUCCAUAUUGUUUUAUUAGUUUGCUCACAUUCACAGCUAAUACUUUGUGAGGAGCAAUGAGGGGAAAAUUUAACUCUCCU
rnacentral:lncRNA from 1 species